UACGUAGGGUGCGAGCGUUAAUCGGAAUUACUGGGCGUAAAGCGUGCGCAGGCGGUUUUGUAAGACAGAGGGGAAAUCCCCGGGCUUAACCUGGGAACUGCCUUUGUGACUGCAAGGCUUGAGUGCGGCAGAGGGGGAUGGAAUUCCGCGUGUAGCAGUGAAAUGCGUAGAUAUGCGGAGGAACACCGAUGGCGAAGGCAAUCCCCUGGGCCUGCACUGACGCUCAUGCACGAAAGCGUGGGGAGCAAACAGG
rnacentral:rRNA from 1 species